rnacentral:misc_RNA from 1 species
GAACGCACAUUGCGCCCCUUGGUAUUCCGAGGGGCAUGCCUAUUCGAGCGUCAUUAUCACCCCUCAAGCCUAGCUUGGUGUUGAGACCUGCUGUCAAGGCAGUCUCUAAAAUCAGUGGCAGUGCUGUCAGGCUCUAAGCGUAGUAAAUUCAUCGCUAUAGACACCUGGUGGCCACUCGCCAGAACCCCCCCAUUUUUUAAUGAUUGACCUCGGAUUAGGUAGGGAUACCCGCUGAACUUA